UUUGUUUUUGGAGGCACUGGUCUACCCAUUUAUUUUUGCAGGCACCGGUCUACUCAUUUGUUUUUGGAGGCACUGGUCUACCACCACACUGCCUUUUAACACUGAUCAGCUGUAGGGCGGCCCUUUGAAAUCCCAUGGCAAGAGUUUAAACAGUUUUUUUCCUUCUAGCCGAUCAGCUGGGAUUCAGGAGGCAGCAAUAGAUUGGAGGUGGCCCAAAUAAAAGGUGCCAAGCCAGUUGGCAGAACCAGGGUUUCAAGCCAUUUUGGAAGACCUAAAAGGUGGAUGCAGAUCUCAUCCCAGGGGCAUGAUAUUCCAGAGGGCAGGAGCCACCUUACCUAAGAAGAUAAGCUGGAUUGGCAGGAGCUGGAGUGAAUGACAGGCGCUUGCCCUGUCAUGCAGCUGCACUCGG